UUAGGAAUCAUUUAAAGUGUGGAAAGCUCCUGAUUGCAAAGCGUGCACAUAUAGAUGCAAAAGAUAAUGAUGGA
rnacentral:sRNA from 12 species